CAUCCGCUCCAUUGCCAAGUCCACAUGCUGACCCUGGGGUCCCUUCCUUCUGCUCUGAUCCCGGUGGCUUUUCCCCUCACCUGCCACAGUCUGAGUGUCAUGUAUCCCUUGGCAUGGUGUUGGGGGCCGGGUGCCUCCCUGCUCCAGGGCUGCAGUGGGGACAGGGCACAGCAGGCCAUUCCUUGUGCUCUGUGCUGGUGCUGGAGAGGGAAAGCAGGGAGGCUCCUUCCCAGGCUCCAUCACCAUCUCCAGCUGGAGCUGCUGAGCAAACAAUCGUACCCUGCCUUGCACAGAGUCAUGGCCUGGGGACUCGGGGGACACAACAGCCCUGCCUGAGCCGAGGGCUGGCCUGGUGUGGGUGAGGAGGUGUCUGGAGCACAGCUGAGGUUGUGACACCUCGUCAGGGGCCAAGGCGACGUGGCAGGAGAGGAGCAGCAAAGCCCACCUCCUCACCAGCCGUGCCGACAUGAGCUCUCCCACGCAGCGCUCCCAAUGAUGAUGGAGAUUUAUUUAAGCUGACUUUAGAGGGGAUAUUUUUGUGAAUGCAUCUUAGCCUGCCAGCUUCUCUCCUUCCGUCAGUCUGUAAUGAUAAUUUCAAGGAACAAUGCUAGAGAUGUUCGCUCACCACAUUGCCAGGCAUGUGGCUGUGAUGGAGAGGAAUUAGCCAGGGAUCUCUGGACACAGAAUUAGCUUUGAGCAUGUUGCUGGUGCUGCUGCAUGCUGCCUUGUAACUCCACCAGGUCCAUGCCCAGGGCUGGAUAUCUCCUUAAUUGAAGAGCAGCAGAGAGUACCUGAGACGUGUCCUGACCAAGAGCAAAACGGUUGGAGAAAUUCCCCAUCCAGGAGCUGCAAUAGCAAGGUGUGGUGCCUUGGGGAGGAGGACUCCAAGAGGCCAGGGUAGAAAGGAUUUAAGUCAGGCCCCUCCCUGCCACAUUGCUGUAAACCACUGGCCCUGCCUGCCCUUGGGGCCUCUGCCACAGGGUCCGGGUGCUGCAGGGAGCUCAGCACCUCUGGGGAGCGAGUGGGUGGUAGGGCUGGAAAACGCUAAAAUGGUCUGCCUAAAAAUGCCCCCCCCCCCCCCCCCGCAGAGACAAGCAGUUUCUGCAUGUGAAGCAAUACCAUUUCCCCCCUCCCUGCCACAAAUGUUGCGGUUCCCUCCCCUGCCGUGCUGCUCCAGCCACUGGCCGGGUGGUGGGAGGGACAGUGGGGGCAGGGAGCAGGCUCAGCCCAGGAGCACUGCAGCCCCCCAAAACCCCCCUGCCUGGCCCACUCUCCCCUGCAUCCCACUCCAUCCCAGACAGCACCCAAGGUGGACAGAGAUGGAAAAAGGCACAUGGGGGCUUUAGAUUUUCCACCCAAAUGGGCCAACGGUUGUUCCUGCACCCAUGGGACGUGGGGCACCCACCCACUGGGCCAAGUGACCAGGGGCUGCGUCAGGGACUGUCCUGAGCUCUCCUCCCCCCAUACACCAUGAGCCAGGAGAGGGUCUGGACAUAGCAGGGGCUUCUUUGCAGCACCAGAGAAGGAGCUGCCUGGACUAUCACCUGGCUCAGCUCACCCUUUCUCCCACUGGGACAAGAUUCCCCAGCUGGCCCGGGGCCAGGGGGACAUACAGGGACCCAGCACUGGGGCAGGGGCUGCUGGGCAGAGGCAGAGAGCCUGGCUGUGUGUGUAGGGGGCCUUGAGGGGAAAGGUCUGUUGGGUCCUCCAGGAUUCUGGGUCAGAGUCCUGGGGAAUAGGGGGGCGAGACCAGAUUUGGAGAAGCUCCAGUGGCCCGUGGGGAGGUCCAGAUAGGGGCGGAGAGCGUUCUGGCUGGGGGGAUCAUGCUCUGGAGGGAGGUCUGGAUCGGGGGUCGGGGUACGGGUCCCGAGGCUCCUCCGGGUCAGGGAGGGGAUGCCCAGGUCCCGCAGGAGAGAUCUAUCUAACGGGGAGGGGAUGAUACCCAGGUCCCGGAGGGGAAUCGUGGCUCCCGGGGGUUGGGGGUGCCGAGGGAGCGGCACGGAGAGCCCCGGUCCCCGCAGCCCCGCCAGCACCCGAGCACCCGCGCCGUGCGCUCACCUGAGCGGGCCGCGCCGGGGCAGGAGGCAGCCGAGGAGGAGGAGGAGGAGGAAGGCGAGGGCACCGGCCCGGAGCGCGCCCAUCCCGCCGCAGCCCGCAGCCCCGCCGCCCCGGGCGCACGGGCAUGACCCGGCCGGCGGCGGAGCCGUCCCCGCUCCCGCUCCCGCCGCACCGGGGCCGCCGCCGCCGCUGCCGCCGCCCCCCGCCCGGUCCCGCUCCUCAUAGUCCGGGCGCCCGCCGCGGGGUGGGCGCCGGGCGGCUGCGGGCCCCGGGAGCCGGGCGGAGCCUCGCCCGCCGCGGCGGGAGGAGGCGGGAGCGGCGGUGGGGGGCUCCCGGCCCCGUGCCCGCCUCCUCCUCGUCCCCUCGGGGCCGCGGCCGCCCUGCCCAGGCUCUCCGGGAACUCCGUGGGGGCUCCUCGGGCGGGGCGGGAGGGAUCCCUUUGGGAUUUGGGAAGGGGCGCACCGGUGUCGGGGCUGGGGGAUGUGCGGGUGUGCUGGGGUCGAGGGAUGCGGUGGGGUUUGGGGAUGUGGCAGGGCUAAUGGCUGUGCGAGGGACGCUCCGAGGACUAGAAGCGCGCUGGGAUCGACGGACGUGCCGCGCUGAGGGAUGUGCUGGGAUCGAGGGCUGUGCAGGGGCUGAGGGAUGUCCCAGAGGUACUGCCCGUCGGAUGGAAGGGAGCGGCUGGGAAAAGCCGGGCUUCUAAAUCCUUCCACCUGGCCUCGGAGCCGCAGCUCAGGGCCGGCCCGUGGGCAGGCAGGGGCCCCAGAGGCCGGGGGGGCUCAGCCCUCCCGCUGGGACCCCGCGCUUGCCUUUCCCAGGGGCUCAGCAUAUGUACAGUCGUGUCCCUCGGCAGAGGCAGAACAUAAGAUGGACAAUCAUGUCAGCGUGGUGCGGGAGCUGCAGCGGCUGCCAGGGAGAGGAAAACCAAGGCAGAGGGAGGGGAGCUGCUUGUUAACCCGGGCGGCAGAGGCAGGGCUGGGACUCGGGCUGCUCGGCUGCCUUUGCCCUGUCCCCUGGGGUCACCCAACCAAGCCUGUGGUCCUAGGCAAUCUGUGAUUAAUUUGCAAGGAAAUAAAUAGUAUUUAAAAAAGAUAAAA